rnacentral:rRNA from 1 species
CGAACGGGUGAGUAACACGUGAGUAACCUGCCCUUCACUCUGGGAUAACUCCGGGAAACCGGGGCUAAUACUGGAUACGACCUGAACAGGCAUCUGUAUUGGGUGGAAAGAUUUAUUGGUGGGGGAUGGACUCGCGGCCUAUCAGCUUGUUGGUGAGGUAAUGGCUCACCAAGGCGACGACGGGUAGCCGGCCUGAGAGGGCGAUCGGCCACACUGGGACUGAGACACGGCCCAG